GCUGGCGGCAGGCCUAACACAUGCAAGUCGAGCGGAUGAAAGGAGCUUGCUCCUGGAUUCAGCGGCGGACGGGUGAGUAAUGCCUAGGAAUCUGCCUGGUAGUGGGGGACAACGUUUCGAAAGGAACGCUAAUACCGCAUACGUCCUACGGGAGAAAGCAGGGGACCUUCGGGCCUUGCGCUAUCAGAUGAGCCUAGGUCGGAUUAGCUAGUUGGUGAGGUAAUGGCUCACCAAGGCGACGAUCCGUAACUGGUCUGAGAGGAUGAUCAGUCACACUGGAACUGAGACACGGUCCAGACUCCUACGGGAGGCAGCAGUGGGGAAUAUUGGACAAUGGGCGAAAGCCUGAUCCAGCCAUGCCGCGUGUGUGAAGAAGGUCUUCGGAUUGUAAAGCACUUUAAGUUGGGAGGAAGGGUUGUAGAUUAAUACUCUGCAAUUUUGACGUUACCGACAGAAUAAGCACCGGCUAACUCUGUGCCAGCAGCCGCGGUAAUACAGAGGGUGCAAGCGUUAAUCGGAAUUACUGGGCGUAAAGCGCGCGUAGGUGGUUCGUUAAGUUGGAUGUGAAAUCCCCGGGCUCAACCUGGGAACUGCAUUCAAAACUGUCGAGCUAGAGUAUGGUAGAGGGUGGUGGAAUUUCCUGUGUAGCGGUGAAAUGCGUAGAUAUAGGAAGGAACACCAGUGGCGAAGGCGACCACCUGGACNNAUA
rnacentral:rRNA from 1 species